AACGAACGCUGGCGGCAUGCCUAACACAUGCAAGUCGAACGAGACCUUCGGGUCUAGUUGCGCACGUGUGCGUAACGCGUGGGAACCUGCCCUUAGGUUCGGAAUAACUCCCCGAAAGGGGUGCUAAUACCGGAUAAUGUCUUCGGACCAAAGAUUUAUCGCCUUUGGAUGGGCCCGCGUUGGAUUAGCUAGUUGGUAGGGUAAAAGCCUACCAAGGCGACGAUCCAUAGCUGGUCUGAGAGGAUGAUCAGCCACACUGGGACUGAGACACGGCCCAGACUCCUACGGGAGGCAGCAGUGGGGAAUAUUGGACAAUGGGCGAAAGCCUGAUCCAGCAAUGCCGCGUGAGUGAUGAAGGCCUUAGGGUUGUAAAGCUCUUUUACCCGGGAUGAUAAUGACAGUACCGGGAGAAUAAGCUCCGGCUAACUCCGUG
rnacentral:rRNA from 1 species